ensembl:lncRNA
GGACAAUAUAUACAGUUAUAGUAAAUGUUAGCUCUCAAACAAAUCAUCUUAAAUCAGAGGACAAAUUAAAUGUUAUCCUCCAAAAUGAGAAGGAACAAACAAGCAGUACCUUGGUAUCUGACACAGCCACAGUGUUUAUGUCCAUGUAACACAUUAACGUCCUGUCAGAGAGCUAGGUCUACAUGACCGGUUGAGUCAGUAGACACUAGUGAUCACACACACAGUGUUAACCUCAGGUAGAGUUGCCGAAGAGAAGCCUUAGCCAUCUAAACAGGCCUAAUAUCCUCACAUGGUUCUUCCACUGUAGCUUAGUUCACAAGGACUAUAAGCUCUGUAGUGAUUCUACCACUGUAGGUUUGUAGACAGGGACUAGACUCUGUAGUGAUUCUACCACUGUAGGUUUGUAGACAGGCACUAGACUCUGUAGUGCAUUGUGAUCAGCUAUCUAAACAGACCUUAUAUCCUCCUGUGGUUAUUCCGAUGGAGCUUUGUCCGCGAGGACUAUAAACUCUUUAGCGAUGCUACCAAAGUAGCUUUGUCUACAAGGACCACUUUCAUGAUUCUACCAAUUAGAUGGAUCUUAAUUGGCAUGUCAUUCUUUUUCAUAAAGGAGGAGAACUGGAGAUAAACACAUCAUCCAGGAAACAUCUGUGUUUGGCUAAACUAAGCAAAAUUGAACACAAUGCCUCUCUAAAAACUCCCGGACAUUUCAUUCUAUUUUCAUUGGAGUGGAGAGCCUUCUAGUUCGCCUGUCAGUGCUUCUAGACCGUUACUACUAUCCUUGUUCUCUUCUUCCACCACUACCAUUGCUUACUUCUGCUAGUCUUCAUUAAAGUGCUGCAUCUCUGGAUCGUACAAACUGAAGCCACAAUGAGAAAAAUAACAGUGAAAUGGGGUAGGUUGCCUGCCUUUUCUAUAGCUGCGAUGCAACAGAUAAUACAUAAUUCAAUUUAAAUGUAUUGAGAACCUGAUGUUCCUCUGUCUGGGGAAACAAUGGAGAGGUUUGUCUGUGCCAAAAUGGUUAAUAAGUCCUAUCAAAACUCAAAAAGGCCCAAAUCUAAAUAUUUAUUUUGUCUUGACAGUAUUUCGCCUCUACUAGCAGCGAAAACAAAAAUCAUCUGGCAGUAUUCUGUGGAACACAUGGACCUGGCCUUCCAUAGAUACAUCGUCUGUCUACCUGUCCUGUCAUUAUUGUCAAACAUGAAUAGAAAAGUGUUCAAUGUCCUUAAUCUGCUGUAGCUCCUGCAUUUUCUUCAUGAAAAUGUCAUUGUGGAGGAAGGAAAUCUCUCCAAAUGUUUUGGCACAGUUUCAUUUCCCAUCUUGAUUGCAAAUUGUUGGAGAGGGAUUCCCCUGUACUGUACGUAGAAGGGGGAGAGACAUUUUGGGGUGGAUGCCCCUGUACUGUACGUAGAAGGGGGAUAGACAUUUUGGGGUGGAUGCCCCUGUACUGUACGUAGAAGGGGGAGAGACAUUUUGGGGUGGAUGCCCCUGUACUGUACGUAGAAGGGGGAGAGACAUUUUGGGGUGGAUGCCCCUGUACUGUACGUAGAAGGGGG